UUGGACUGUUCGCAAGAGUCC
ensembl:piRNA 21ur-4108 ncRNA